GUCGAACGGUAGAGUAGCAAUACUCGAGAGUGGCGAACGGGUGAGUAAUAUAUCGGAACGUGCCCAGUCGUGGGGGAUAACGUAGAGAAAUUUACGCUAAUACCGCAUACGAUCUAAGGAUGAAAGCGGGGGAUCGCAAGACCUCGCGCGACUGGAGCGGCUGAUAUCAGAUUAGGUUGUUGGUGAGGUAAAAGCUCACCAAGCCGACGAUCUGUAGCUGGUUUGAGAGAACGACCAGCCACACUGGGACUGAGACACGGCCCAGACUCCUACGGGAGGCAGCAGUGGGGAAUUUUGGACAAUGGGCGAAAGCCUGAUCCAGCAAUGCCGCGUGCAGGAAGAAGGCCUUCGGGUUGUAAACUGCUUUUGUACGGAACGAAACGGCUCUUUCUAAUAAAGAGGGCUAAUGACGGUACCGUAAGAAUAAGCACCGGCUAACUACGUGCCAGCAGCCGCG
rnacentral:rRNA from 1 species